AAGAAGCAACAAUAGGAUUGAAACUUGAGAGUGAAAGAGACGAGUUCAAAAGGUUUCAGUGAGGACAGAGAUUUGAGUGAAAGAGAUGGUUGAAAGUGAGAGAGGAGUGAAUGAAAGUGAGAAGGGAGUGAGAACAAACUAGAGCUUAGGUCAAAAAAACUCUAGGAUCGUAAGAACCUAUGACCCGGUGCGAGAACCUGACUACAGACAGGUCAAAAAAGGAACCUACAUGGGUUCUAAGCUCGGUUGGCCUUCACGAGCUCAUAGGAUCUUAAGAACCUAAGACCCGGUGCGAGAA
rnacentral:lncRNA from 1 species